rnacentral:rRNA from 1 species
UACGUAGGGUGCGAGCGUUGUCCGGAAUUAUUGGGCGUAAAGGGCUCGUAGGCGGUCUGUCGCGUCGGGAGUGAAAACUCAGGGCUUAACCCUGAGCCUGCUUCCGAUACGGGCAGACUAGAGGUAUGCAGGGGAGAACGGAAUUCCUGGUGUAGCGGUGAAAUGCGCAGAUAUCAGGAGGAACACCGGUGGCGAAGGCGGAUCUCUGGGCCUUGCCUGACGCUGAGGCGCGAAAGCUAGGGGAGCGAACAGG